CGUUGAAUGUGCAUUCUGCUAUGAAGUCAGCCAAGGCUUGAGAUUUUAUAGUUGUCCUAGGUCGAUACUCUAGGCAGUAAGGGCUGAUCUCUACGGACCAAGCCAACAUCCGACCUGAAGUUUCCGGCCUGCGUAGAAUCUUCUUUAAGGGUUGGUCUGUCAUCACAACUCCUUGGUGGCCUUCCAAAUAAACUUUGAAUUUCCGGACUGCUAG
rnacentral:lncRNA from 1 species